UACGAAGGGGGCUAGCGUUGCUCGGAAUCACUGGGCGUAAAGGGUGCGUAGGCGGAUCUUUAAGUCAGGGGUGAAAUCCCAAGGCUCAACCUUGGAACUGCCUUUGAUACUGGGGAUCUCGAGUCCGGAAGAGGUGAGUGGAACUGCGAGUGUAGAGGUGAAAUUCGUAGAUAUUCGCAAGAACACCAGUGGCGAAGGCGGCUCACUGGUCCGGUACUGACGCUGAGGUGCGAAAGCGUGGGGAGCAAACAGG
rnacentral:rRNA from 1 species